rnacentral:rRNA from 1 species
AUAAGUCAGAGGUGAAAGUUUCCGGCUCAACCGGGAGAUUGCCUUUGAUACUGUUUGGCUUGAAUCAGAUUGAGGUUGGCGGAAUGUGACAUGUAGCGGUGAAAUGCAUAGAUAUGUCAUAGAACAUCGAUUGCGAAGGCAGCUGGCUGGAUCUGUAUUGACGCUGAGGCACGAAAGCGUGGGGAGCAAACAGGAUUAGAUACCCUGGUAGUCCACGCCCUAAACGAUGUUUACUCGACAUGGGAUUUUCGGAUUCUGUGUCCAAGCGAAAGCGUUAAGUAAACCACCUGGGGAGUACGUUC